rnacentral:rRNA from 1 species
CGAGCGGACAGAUGGGAGCUUGCUCCCUGAUGUUAGCGGCGGACGGGUGAGUAACACGUGGGUAACCUGCCUGUAAGACUGGGAUAACUCCGGGAAACCGGGGCUAAUACCGGAUGGUUGUCUGAACCGCAUGGUUCAGACAUAAAAGGUGGCUUCGGCUACCACUUACAGAUGGACCCGCGGCGCAUUAGCUAGUUGGUGAGGUAACGGCUCACCAAGGCGACGAUGCGUAGCCGACCUGAGAGGGUGAUCGGCCACACUGGGACUGAGACACGGCCCAGACUCCUACGGGAGGCAGCAGUAGGGAAUCUUCCGCAAUGGACGAAAGUCUGACGGAGCAACGCCGCGUGAGUGAUGAAGGUUUUCGGAUCGUAAAGCUCUGUUGUUAGGGAAGAACAAGUGCCGUUCAAAUAGGGCGGCACCUUGACGGUACCUAACCAGAAAGCCACGGCUAACUACGUGCCAGCAGCCGCGGUAAUACGUAGGUGGCAAGCGUUGUCCGGAAUUAUUGGGCGUAAAGGGCUCGCAGGCGGUUUCUUAAGUCUGAUGUGAAAGCCCCCGGCUCAACCGGGGAGGGUCAUUGGAAACUGGGGAACUUGAGUGCAGAAGAGGAGAGUGGAAUUCCACGUGUAGCGGUGAAAUGCGUAGAGAUGUGGAGGAACACCAGUGGCGAAGGCGACUCUCUGGUCUGUAACUGACGCUGAGGAGCGAAAGCGUGGGGAGCGAACAGGAUUAGAUACCCUGGUAGUCCACGCCGUAAAC